CCUACGGGAGGCAGCAGUAGGGAAUCUUGCGCAAUGGGCGAAAGCCUGACGCAGCGACGCCGCGUGGGGGAUGAAGGUCUUCGGAUCGUAAACCUCUGUCAGCAGGGAAGAACGGUCACUGUGCUAAUCAGCAGUGAAUUGACGGUACCUGCAAAGGAAGCACCGGCUAACUCCGUGCCAGCAGCCGCGGUAAUACGGAGGGUGCGAGCGUUAAUCGGAAUUACUGGGCGUAAAGCGCUCGUAGGCGGUAUGUCAAGUCAAGGGUGAAAUCCCCGCGCUCAACGUGGGAACUGCAUUUGAAACUGGCAAACUGGAGUGUGUGAGAGGAUAGUGGAAUUGCAGGUGUAGGAGUGAAAUGCGUAGAUAUCUGGAGGAACAUCAGUGGCGAAGGCGACUAUCUGGCACAUAACUGACGCUGAGGAGCGAAAGCGUGGGUAGCAAACAGGAUUAGAUACCCGAGUAGUC
rnacentral:rRNA from 1 species